rnacentral:rRNA from 1 species
AUAGCGUAUAUUAAAGUUGUUGCGGUUAAAAAGCUCGUAGUUGGAUCUGCGGCCGAGGAGAGCGGUCUUCCUCUGGUUGAACUGCUUUUCCUGGCCUAACUCUCUGGUUUUCCUUUGGUGCUCUUCACUGAGUGCCCUAGGUGGCCAGAACGUUUACUUUGAAAAAAUUAGAGUGCUCAAAGCAGGCUCUUGCCUGAAUAGUGGUGCAUGGAAUAAUGGAAUAGGACAUUGGUUCUGUUUUAUUGGUUCGGAGCUAAUGUAAUGAUUGAAGGGGACAGACGGGGGCAUUCGUAUUGCGACGUUAGAGGUGAAAUUCUUGGAUCGUCGCAAGACGGACUACUG